rnacentral:rRNA from 1 species
UACGAAGGGGGCUAGCGUUGCUCGGAAUCACUGGGCGUAAAGGGUGCGUAGGCGGGUCUUUAAGUCAGGGGUGAAAUCCUGGGGCUCAACUCCAGAACUGCCUUUGAUACUGAAGAUCUUGAGUUCGGGAGAGGUGAGUGGAACUGCGAGUGUAGAGGUGAAAUUCGUAGGUAUUCGCAAGAACACCAGUGGCGAAGGCGGCUCACUGGCCCGAUACUGACGCUGAGGCACGAAAGCGUGGGGAGCAAACAGG